AGACAGUCUUGAAGGGAGACAUCCCCAACCUUGCUAAAAUGUAAGUACAGAAAAAAUUUUUUUAAAAAGGCACAAACUGGAUGGAUAUUGAUGAUGUUGUGUCUAUUGCAACAUCAUCCAUAGACUCCUAGUGUCUUUGCUUUGCUUCCCUAGAGUGAUCACAACAUAAAUUACUUGUCUUGUUUGAAUUCCUUGUUCACCAAAGUUGAGCAGAUUGUGGCCGUUUUCAACGCUUCUACCAGACAAAAAGCUUGGGACCAUUUCUCGAAAGCCCAGCGCAAGAACAUAGACAUUUGGCGAAAGCACUCUGAGGUUGGUGAUUUUACUGUUCCUUUCUAACCACCGUCACACAAGCUGGAUUGGCAGAGAAUAGCGUGGCUGUAGCCGUUAAUGGUGUUGUCACAGUGGCCGGUCCUUCCACCGUCGUCCCGUGUCAUUGUCCCCUCCACAUCCAGCUCCACUUCAUUUCUUGUCCAGAGAUGCAGCUGGCUUCACACUUAGAACAUCCUCUUCCUUCCUCUCCAAAGGAGGAAAGAAUCUUUCUCACUCAUAGUAAAGAGUUCGCUCAAAAAACAAACCAAGAUGCUCUGUCUACAAUGAGACUGAAAAAAAAAAUGCCAAUUUACAAAACUAACCGCUGAGUACCGAGUUUUUCUUCCAUAAUUUUUGUGGUGAUGACAAUUGUCUCUUUGGGCUUGAAAUGGCAAGUGUGCCGUCCUUUCCAUUUCUUCUUGUCACUAGCCACACCUACUCCACUGGGCUAGCCAAGAGGUCCUGUCACAUGUCUCCCCAGAGCAAAUCUCAUGGUGGGGACAAAUGUCCAUGCUAGCUGAUUUCACAGCCUCAAUGCAUGUAUGAGUAUCUACCACCAAGGACAGAGGCCACAACUUCACUUUGCUUGCCACCUCGACAGACCACACCGUGUCAUUAGCCAUUGGUCAUCCAGCUGUUAUUUUUUGACUCCACCUGUAGUGUUCGCUUUGAACCUGUAAUGUAAAAGUAAGUAUCCUGUCUUCCUUUGCUUCUUCUCUUCUUUAUUUUUUUUUAAGAUAAGAAUGUUGCUCACGUGGAUGCUUCUCCAAUUCUAGCAUGUUAAAAUUUAAAGUUCUUUAAAAGACACCCCCUCUUUCAAAAAUCACAAAGUUAUAGAAGGUAAGGUUUAUUUAUGUAAUGGUUUUGGCUGACACUUAUAAAUUUAGUGUUUUUAUGAAGAGUUUGAGGAACCACAAAGUCCUAGGACAUCAGUCAUCUGGGUAGCAUUUUAAGUGACCAUUAACUAGUGCUAAAUUGCUAUUGAAUGCCGAUGGUACUACAUGUAAUAUCCACAUGAAUACUAAAUAGAUUCUUUAUUGCCACUGUCAUGAUGGCCAAUGCUGAGUGAUGGGGUCCUGAAAACACUAAUGCGGUUGUUGCUAAGGGCAUUUUUUAAAGUUGUGCUCGCCAGUGCCAAGGAAGGUGUCUGGCGACAUAUACAGCUCUUCUUCCACUUUUGAGGUCUGUAAGGAGGAGGUAGGAUUUCUCUUCAGUUUCUCAAGGGCUCCAUAACAAAGCUGAUGUUCUCCCUGACCCUGAAAUAAGAUCCAAGCCGAAGUUGAUUGUCAAGAGUGGGGACUAAGGAGAGACCUCUGCUUCCUUAUGAAAACUCAAAAUUGAAGUUCACAAACUAUAAGUCAACGAUGAUGAUUCAGAGUUUAGAAUGGCAAACCUUCGGAUUCUUUUUAAAUUCAUAUAAAAUAAAAUGCAACUAAGGGAAAAUUUAACAGACACCCAGCAAGCCACAGUUUGCUGAAAACACUUGAUAGAAAGGCCACUGUCCACAGGUGUCCGUGGCUGUCAACAGACAUCAGACACUGGGCUCUGCCUUGCCUCCUGCCUGAUCCCAGUCCAUUUCCCAGCUUUCCCUAUCCCGAGUCUGGUGCUGUUUAGAGCAGAACAUGGCAGGCUUCCUGCCUGGGUCUGAGGAAUCCUCCUUGCUUUCUUGGUCCUGGGGGGAUAGGAUGGAGACUCCAGAGGGAUCGAGUGUCCCUCCUGCCAUCCCACCUUAUCUUUUGGAAAACAUUAGAAAACAGAAUUCUAAAUUGCCUUUUUUUUUUCUCCUACAUGUUGCUUAAUUGAUUAAAUACCAGUUGUAAUUUCACAUUGUGGAUGGUUUCUCAGUUGCAUCUAAGCUUGCUAAUUGGCUUGAUUUUUCUACAUUCCCAUGUACAGCAUCUGUUAAUUAUCUGCAACACCUCUACAGAUUUAUUAGAGUGUGCUAGUGAUUUACUGAUGAACCUCGGGCACCCUGUGGAAACACCUCAGAUUCCCCUCCCUCCAGUACUUUCCCUUUCUGGACCUUCCACACAAAACAACUGUCAUAUGACAGUUUGUCCUUAAUUGCGGAACCAAGUAACCACCCUUUCAGCCUUGUUUAUUCUUUCCACCUGGUUUUUCCUUGUUUGGAUGUUUUCCAGCCACCUCUUUGGGAAUUGGGCUCUUUAUCAAGAGAAAAAUUAGCUGUACAACCCCCAGAAAAUUCCCCGCUAAUCACACAUGAUAUCCACCGCCAAAGCCUGAGACUUAAGCAGCCCCACACCCUUUCUUCUAGGUGGUGUGGUCACAAAGGGAGGUGUUGUUUCUUGACCCGGGGCUGUCCUAUGGCUGUCUGCCCUCUUGUUUCCCUGUACUCCACAAGGCCAAUUUUCCUGGGUGCAGAGAUGUCCAUUGGGAUCUUAGUAACAAUGAGGAUGUCCUUCGCAUCCUGCCAUGGUUUAAGUCUGUGAGCUAAGGAAAGAUGUCCCAAGCCAGGGCCACAAGUGCACAUCUGCUGAAUGGGCAGUAACCAUGCCCUAAUGAACUGGUAGAAUCCUGUGACUUUUAUCAUAAGCAUUGGGUUUUUAAUUAGAGGCCUUAAAAGAAAAGACGAGAAAAGAAAAAAGAAAAAAAGAGAAAAGAAAAGAAAAGAAAAGG
rnacentral:lncRNA from 1 species